AUGGCUGCCGCGGGGCUUUGGAAGGCUCGAAUUCCUCUCAAGAUCAAGGUGUUCCUCUGGCAACUUUGUCAAGACCGCCUUCCUACUUCCAUCAAUAUUGCCAAACGCAAUGGCCCGGCCGCUGGGCCUUGUGCGUUGUGUGGCGUUCCGGAAGACGCUGACCAUGUGUUCUUCCGUUGCUCCUUGGCGCGCUUUGCCUGGAGCGCGGUCCGGGAGGCCGCGGGGGUGGAUUGGGAUCCACACUCCCGCCCAGAGCUAGUGUCGUCUUUGUCCUCAGUCCAGGGUUCUUCGCGUCGUGUUAUGUGGACAAGUGCGGCAGCCAUGUUGUGGGCUUUGUGGCACAUUCGUAACAAGUUUACUAUUGAGGGUGUGUUCCCCUCUCACCCUGCUGACGUAAUCUACAAAUGCAUCUUGUUCUUGCAGCAAUGGGCCCCGCUGGGAAGGCAACAGGACUCUGAUCUACAUCUUCUGGCUCUAGCUCGCCUGCGUUCCGUCUACUCCACAUCGCGAGCCCCGACGCCUCCUUCCGCUGUCUCAUAG
rnacentral:rRNA from 1 species